GUUUGUAGAAAGUGCCUGUGACAAAAUCUGGGUAAAGACUACUCGCCUGAGGAGGAAUUUUCGUUGAACUAUCAGAGUGGCUGCUGCUGUUGUUGUCCAGAGUGCCUCGAGAAGCAAUAGUAGUUUUGUUGUGUUUUCGUGUAUUUAAGCUUCGAGUGUUCAGUGUUUUUCUGUUUUGUUUUGCAUCUCAAGAUGUAAUCUGAGGAUUAGUCCUCUUUCUACAGCUGUGAAUUCUAUGUCAUACCAAAGUUUCAA